rnacentral:rRNA from 1 species
UACGUAGGGGGCAAGCGUUGUCCGGAUUUAUUGGGCGUAAAGAGCGUGUAGGCGGUUAGGUAGGUCCGUUGUGAAAACUCGAGGCUUAACCUCGAGACGUCGGUGGAAACUGCCUGGCUAGAGUCCGGAAGAGGAGAGUGGAAUUCCUGGUGUAGCGGUGAAAUGCGCAGAUAUCAGGAAGAACACCCGUGGCUAAGGCGGCUCUCUAGUACGGUACUGACGCUGAGACGCGAAAGCGUGGGGAGCGAACAGG